rnacentral:rRNA from 1 species
GGGUUGUGAGGUUAAGCGACUAAGCGUACACGGUGGAUGCCCUGGCAGUCAGAGGCGAUGAAGGACGUGCUAAUCUGCGAUAAGCGUCGGUAAGGUGAUAUGAACCGUUAUAACCGGCGAUUUCCGAAUGGGGAAACCCAGUGUGUUUCGACACACUAUCAUUAACUGAAUCCAUAGGUUAAUGAGGCGAACCGGGGGAACUGAAACAUCUAAGUACCCCGAGGAAAAGAAAUCAACCGAGAUUCCCCCAGUAGCGGCGAGCGAACGGGGAGCAGCCCAGAGCCUGAAUCAGUGUGUGUGUUAGUGGAAGCGUCUGGAAAGGCGCGCGAUACAGGGUGACAGCCCCGUACACAAAAAUGCACAUGCUGUGAGCUCGAUGAGUAGGGCGGGACACGUGGUAUCCUGUCUGAAUAUGGGGGGACCAUCCUCCAAGGCUAAAUACUCCUGACUGACCGAUAGUGAACCAGUACCGUGAGGGAAAGGCGAAAAGAACCCCGGCGAGGGGAGUGAAAAAGAACCUGAAACCGUGUACGUACAAGCAGUGGGAGCACGCUUAGGCGUGUGACUGCGUACCUUUUGUAUAAUGGGUCAGCGACUUAUAUUCUGUAGCAAGGUUAACCGAAUAGGGGAGCCGAAGGGAAACCGAGUCUUAACUGGGCGUUAAGUUGCAGGGUAUAGACCCGAAACCCGGUGAUCUAGCCAUGGGCAGGUUGAAGGUUGGGUAACACUAACUGGAGGACCGAACCGACUAAUGUUGAAAAAUUAGCGGAUGACUUGUGGCUGGGGGUGAAAGGCCAAUCAAACCGGGAGAUAGCUGGUUCUCCCCGAAAGCUAUUUAGGUAGCGCCUCGUGAAUUCAUCUCCGGGGGUAGAGCACUGUUUCGGCAAGGGGGUCAUCCCGACUUACCAACCCGAUGCAAACUGCGAAUACCGGAGAAUGUUAUCACGGGAGACACACGGCGGGUGCUAACGUCCGUCGUGAAGAGGGAAACAACCCAGACCGCCAGCUAAGGUCCCAAAGUCAUGGUUAAGUGGGAAACGAUGUGGGAAGGCCCAGACAGCCAGGAUGUUGGCUUAGAAGCAGCCAUCAUUUAAAGAAAGCGUAAUAGCUCACUGGUCGAGUCGGCCUGCGCGGAAGAUGUAACGGGGCUAAACCAUGCACCGAAGCUGCGGCAGCGACGCUUAUGCGUUGUUGGGUAGGGGAGCGUUCUGUAAGCCUGUGAAGGUGUGCUGUGAGGCAUGCUGGAGGUAUCAGAAGUGCGAAUGCUGACAUAAGUAACGAUAAAGCGGGUGAAAAGCCCGCUCGCCGGAAGACCAAGGGUUCCUGUCCAACGUUAAUCGGGGCAGGGUGAGUCGACCCCUAAGGCGAGGCCGAAAGGCGUAGUCGAUGGGAAACAGGUUAAUAUUCCUGUACUUGGUGUUACUGCGAAGGGGGGACGGAGAAGGCUAUGUUGGCCGGGCGACGGUUGUCCCGGUUUAAGCGUGUAGGCUGGUUUUCCAGGCAAAUCCGGAAAAUCAAGGCUGAGGCGUGAUGACGAGGCACUACGGUGCUGAAGCAACAAAUGCCCUGCUUCCAGGAAAAGCCUCUAAGCAUCAGGUAACAUCAAAUCGUACCCCAAACCGACACAGGUGGUCAGGUAGAGAAUACCAAGGCGCUUGAGAGAACUCGGGUGAAGGAACUAGGCAAAAUGGUGCCGUAACUUCGGGAGAAGGCACGCUGAUAUGUAGGUGAAGUCCCUUGCGGAUGGAGCUGAAAUCAGUCGAAGAUACCAGCUGGCUGCAACUGUUUAUUAAAAACACAGCACUGUGCAAACACGAAAGUGGACGUAUACGGUGUGACGCCUGCCCGGUGCCGGAAGGUUAAUUGAUGGGGUUAGCGGUAACGCGAAGCUCUUGAUCGAAGCCCCGGUAAACGGCGGCCGUAACUAUAACGGUCCUAAGGUAGCGAAAUUCCUUGUCGGGUAAGUUCCGACCUGCACGAAUGGCGUAAUGAUGGCCAGGCUGUCUCCACCCGAGACUCAGUGAAAUUGAACUCGCUGUGAAGAUGCAGUGUACCCGCGGCAAGACGGAAAGACCCCGUGAACCUUUACUAUAGCUUGACACUGAACAUUGAGCCUUGAUGUGUAGGAUAGGUGGGAGGCUUUGAAGUGUGGACGCCAGUCUGCAUGGAGCCGACCUUGAAAUACCACCCUUUAAUGUUUGAUGUUCUAACGUUGACCCGUGAUCCGGGUUGCGGACAGUGUCUGGUGGGUAGUUUGACUGGGGCGGUCUCCUCCUAAAGAGUAACGGAGGAGCACGAAGGUUGGCUAAUCCUGGUCGGACAUCAGGAGGUUAGUGCAAUGGCAUAAGCCAGCUUGACUGCGAGCGUGACGGCGCGAGCAGGUGCGAAAGCAGGUCAUAGUGAUCCGGUGGUUCUGAAUGGAAGGGCCAUCGCUCAACGGAUAAAAGGUACUCCGGGGAUAACAGGCUGAUACCGCCCAAGAGUUCAUAUCGACGGCGGUGUUUGGCACCUCGAUGUCGGCUCAUCACAUCCUGGGGCUGAAGUAGGUCCCAAGGGUAUGGCUGUUCGCCAUUUAAAGUGGUACGCGAGCUGGGUUUAGAACGUCGUGAGACAGUUCGGUCCCUAUCUGCCGUGGGCGCUGGAGAACUGAGGGGGGCUGCUCCUAGUACGAGAGGACCGGAGUGGACGCAUCACUGGUGUUCGGGUUGUCAUGCCAAUGGCACUGCCCGGUAGCUAAAUGCGGAAGAGAUAAGUGCUGAAAGCAUCUAAGCACGAAACUUGCCCCGAGAUGAGUUCUCCCUGACCCUUUAAGGGUCCUGAAGGAACGUUGAAGACGACGACGUUGAUAGGCCGGGUGUGUAAGCGCAGCGAUGCGUUGAGCUAACCGGUACUAAUGAACCGUGAGGCUUAACCUUACAACGCCGAAGGUGUUU